UUUAAGACUUAAAUAAGGAACUACCAGAGUACUACGAAUACCACUAAAAAUUUAAAACUCAAAGAGCUUGGCGGUGCUUUAGACCAACUAGGGGAACUUGUCUCAUAAUCGAUGAUCCACGUAACACCUAACUUUUUUUAGUAAAGCAGCCUGUAUACCGUCGUCACCAGGUAACUUUUUAGAUAACAAAAGUUAGCCAGAAAGAGAAAAAUUUAAUCUAUAAUGUCAGAUCAAGGUGCAGCCCAUAAAGAAGGGAGGAUGAGUUACAAUUCUGACUUUUAUUAAAUAUAUAAAUGAAAAAUUAUAUUGAAAUAGGACUUAGAAGUACAAUAGCAAAUAGAUAAAUAAUUAGAAUAUGGCUCUGAAGUGUGC
rnacentral:rRNA from 1 species